rnacentral:lncRNA from 1 species
CUCUCCCUAAGGGCGAUAGAAAGCUCUUCUGCAGUUCUUCUCAGAGAUUGGAGUUCGCUGGAAUCCCGAGAGGAAGCGAGCUGAGCCCUGCCAGCCAGCUGCCCUUGAAGGUGGGCAACCUCGUCGGUCGCCAUCCGGAGCCUCCCCUUGUAUUCGUCCACCUGCUUGCGCCAGCCAGCCCGGUACGCAUCGUAGCUCGCCUCGACAUCCU